CCUACGGGAGGCAGCAGUGAGGAAUAUUGGUCAAUGGACGAGAGUCUGAACCAGCCAAGUAGCGUGAAGGAUGACUGCCCUAUGGGUUGUAAACUUCUUUUAUAUGGGAAUAAAAUGUUCCACGUGUGGGAUUUUGUAUGUACCAUAUGAAUAAGGAUCGGCUAACUCCGUGCCAGCAGCCGCGGUAAUACGGAGGAUCCGAGCGUUAUCCGGAUUUAUUGGGUUUAAAGGGAGCGUAGGUGGAUUGUUAAGUCAGUUGUGAAAGUUUGCGGCUCAACCGUAAAAUUGCAGUUGAAACUGGCAGUCUUGAGUACAGUAGAGGUGGGCGGAAUGCGUGGUGUAGCGGUGAAAUGCUUAGCUAUCACGAAGAACUCCGAUUGCGAAGGCAGUUCACUGGACUGCAACUGACACUGAGGCUCGAAAGUGUGGGUAUCAAACAGGAUUAGCUACCCUUGUAGUC
rnacentral:rRNA from 1 species